CAUGUGUAAAGCCCUGAGAUGGGAAGAAGUGAGGAAAAAUGAGAGGCUGAAAGAAGACUAGUGAGUGAUAUCGGCAAGAGCUGAAAUUUAAGAGUAAGAGGCAUAAUCAUGCAGGACUGUGUAAAACAAAGUAAUCGGUCUGGAUUUUAUUCUACUGACAUGGGAAACCACUGAAGGAUUUUUCAGCAGGACUUAUGGAAAACUACAGAAAAGAGAUAAAAUUUGGGCUGGCUUUGAAGAAUGAGCAGGAAUGUUGCAGAGAUGCUGAGGAUAAACAAAGAAAAUAAGAUUGUGAGAUAACAUGAUGUCAUAAGGCAAUGACCAUGAGGAUGGGAGAGGAGAGUGGUAUAGCCACGGCAUUGUUCAAGCUUAGUCAUUCAGUAGUGUGGGAAGGUUGUCCACUAAAACUUUUCACAGAGGCACAGCAGGUUU